GAUGAACGCUGGCGGCGUGCCUAAUACAUGCCAGUCGAGCGAACGGACGAGAAGCUUGCUUCUCUGAUGUUAGCGGCGGACGGGUGAGUAACACGUGGAUAACCUACCUAUAAGACUUGGAUAACUUCGGGAAACCGGAGCUAAUACCGGAUGAUAUUUUGAACCGCAUGGUUCAAAAGUGAAAGACGGUCUUGCUGUCACUUAUAGAUGGAUCCGCGCUGCAUUAGCUAGUUGGUAAGGUAACGGCUUACCAAGGCAACGAUGCAUAGCCGACCUGAGAGGGUGAUCGGCCACACUGGAACUGAGACACGGUCCAGACUCCUACGGGAGGCAGCAGUAGGGAAUCUUCCGCAAUGGGCGAAAGCCUGACGGAGCAACGCCGCGUGAGUGAUGAAGGUCUUCGGAUCGUAAAACUCUGUUAUUAGGGAAGAACAUAUGUGUAAGUAACUGUGCACAUCUUGACGGUACCUAAUCAGAAAGCCACGGCUAACUACGUG
rnacentral:rRNA from 1 species